rnacentral:rRNA from 1 species
GACGAACGCUGGCGGCGUGCUUAACACAUGCAAGUCGAACGGUAAGGCCCUUCGGGGUACACGAGUGGCGAACGGGUGAGUAACACGUGGGUGAUCUGCCCUGCACUUCGGGAUAAGCCUGGGAAACUGGGUCUAAUACCGGAUAGGACCACUGCCUGCAUGGGUGUGGUGGAAAGCUUUUGCGGUGUGGGAUGGGCCCGCGGCCUAUCAGCUUGUUGGUGGGGUGAUGGCCUACCAAGGCGACGACGGGUAGCCGGCCGUGAGAGGGUGACCGGCCACACUGGGACUGAGAUACGGCCCAGACUCCUACGGGAGGCAGCAGUGGGGAAUAUUGCACAAUGGGCGCAAGCCUGAUGCAGCGACGCCGCGUGAGGGAUGACGGCCUUCGGGUUGUAAACCUCUUUCAGCACCGACGAAGCGCAAGUGACGGUAGGUGCAGAAGAAGGACCGGCCAACUACGUGCCAGCCGCCGCCGUAA